AUAUAUAUACACACACAUAUACUCAAAUUGGAAUGCUACAGAGAGGUUAGCAUGGCCCCUGUACAGGGAUGACAUGCAAAUUCAUGAAGUUUUCUAUAUUUUU